UUUGGUUUCUAGGAUGUGCCUUGCUCCUGUAUGCCUCUGGGUUUUCCAUGCCACCUUCCACUCCACACCCCUCUUUGCUCACCCAGCACUUCCUCAGGAAAGUCCCUUUCUCUGACUCCUGAAACCAGGCUGGGUACCACUUCCCUGGUGAUGAUAGUAAUUUGUAAUUGAAUAUCAGUCUCUCCUACCAGACUGUAAGCUCAGGAGGGUGGAUUUAUUUUUCUCAGCUGUAAAAUGAGGAUGGUAACUGCUAUGGACCAAAUGAUUGUGCCCCACUCCAGCCCCCAAUUCACUUGUUGAAGCCCUAACCCACAAUAGAUGGCAUUUAGAGAUAGGAACUUUAUGAAAUAAUUAAGGUUAAAAUGAGGUCAUAAGGGUAGGGCUCUGAUCCAAUAGGAUUAGUGUCCUUCAAAGGAAAGACACCAGACAGCUGACAUUCCCAGAGCAUGAAGAGGUCAUGUGAACACACAGUAAGAAGGCAGCCACCUCCAAGCAGAGAAAAGAGACCUCAGAAUGACACCCACCUUGCUGGCACCUUGAUCUUGGACUCCCAGCCUCCAGAACUGUGAGAAAUAAAAUUUCUGCUGUUUAAGUCAUUCAGUGAAUGGCAUAUUUAUGGAAGCUUGAAUGGACUAAGACCUAACUGAACCCAGAUAAAUAAUUGUUUAUUCAGGACUAAUUGUUAAUACCUGCAAAGCACUUAAAACUGAACCGGAUAUGUAGUUGGCCCUACCAACUGUUAAGAUUGUCACACACCUGAUUCGUCUCCCUGGAGAAGGCAGUACCCUCAGGUCUCGAACUCCCCAACCGCUUUUUUCCCAAGAUGAAACCCUUUGCUGGGAGUCUGCAUGAUAAAGGAAAGAAUCCUCUGUUCUGGAUGCCACAAUCUUAGAAGAUCUCCACAACGUGAUCGUAUUCAGCAGCUAACAGGGGUGUGCAACUGGACUGUCUGAAAUGUGUCAGCUGAGGAGUGGACAAAUUAGGGCCGUUUAACCAGAAAAGAGAAUUCUCAGUAGUGGCGUGAAACAGUCUUCAGACAUUUGAAGGAGUGCACUUGACCCAGAAUGUAACCUCUUUUAACUCCCCUCUUCUAGAUGAUAGAAAUAUUUUCAGUGUUAAUGAUGUAACAAUCGUCAUCAUCAUUUUCUUGAUUCAUUCUUUCAUUUUAAAACCGUUAACAAUUAGGAAGUGGGAAUACGUUUCAGUUUUAAAGACAUUAUUGAAAUUCAGUAAAAUAUUUCAUAAAAUAUUUCAUGCAUGAACUACAGUUAGUACUGACCAC